ACCUGGCUAGCUCAGCUGGUAAAGCAUGUGACUCUUGAUCUCAGGGUUGUGGGUUCUAGCCCCACAUUGGGUG
rnacentral:tRNA from 1 species